AUACGGAGGGGGCUAGCGUUAUUCGGAAUUAUUGGGCGUAAAGGGCGUGUAGGCGGCUUCGUAUGUCCCAUGUGAAAGCCCUCGGCUCAACCGGGGAACUGCAUGGGAAACUGCGGAGCUUGAGUCCGGGAGAGGAGAGUGGAAUUCCCAGUGUAGCGGUGAAAUGCGUAGAUAUUGGGAGGAACACCAGUGGCGAAGGCGGCUCUCUGGACCGGUACUGACGCUGAGACGCGAAAGCCAGGGGAGCAAACGGGAUUAGAAACCCGAGUAGUCC
rnacentral:rRNA from 1 species